UUUCAGAUGAUGGAUUUAAGGGUGCGUAGGCGGCUUAUUAGUCAGGGGUGAAAGACGGCGGCUCAACCAUCGCACUGCCCUUGAUACUGAUGAGCUUGAAUACACUAGAGGUAGGCGGAAUGUGACAAGUAGCGGUGAAAUGCAUAGAUAUGUCACAGAACACCGAUUGCGAAGGCAGCUUACUAUGGUGUGAUUGACGCUGAGGCACGAAAGCGUGGGGAUCAAACAGGAUUAGAUACCCUGGUAGUCCACGCCCUAAACGAUGAAUACUCGCUGUUAGCGAUAUACAGUUAGCGGCUAAGCGAAAGCGUUAAGUAUUCCACCUGGGGAGUACGCCCGCAAGGGUGAAACUCAAAGGAAUUGACGGGGGCCCGCACAAGCGGAGGAGCAUGUGGUUUAAUUCGAUGAUACGCGAGGAACCUUACCCGGGCUUGAAAGUUAGUGAAUAAUCAAGAGAUUGAUUACUGAGCAAUCACACGAAACUAGGUGCUGCAUGGCUGUCUUCAGCUCGUGCCGUGAGGUGUUGGGUUAAGUCCCGCAACGAGCGCAACCCCUAUGUUUAGUUGCCAGCACGUUAAGGUGGGGACUCUAAACAGACUGCCUGUGCAAACAGAGAGGAAGGAGGGGGACGACAUCAAGUCAUCAUGGCCCUUACGUCCGGGGCUACACACGUGCUACAAUGGAUGGUACAGAGGGCAGCAAGCUGGCAACGCAAGCAAAUCUCAAAAAAGCCAUUCACAGUUCGAGAUAGAGGUCUGCAACUCAACCUCUUGAACUUGGAUUCGCUAGUAAUCGCGUAUCAGCCAAUGACGCGGUGAAUACGGUUCCCGGGCCGUGCACACACUCUCCCCUUAAGCCAUGGAAGUUGGGGGUACCUAAAAUUAUGU
rnacentral:rRNA from 1 species